CUAUAGUUUCAUUCUCAACUUCCAUUUCCGAGGUUUCUUCCCACCCUUGAAGGGCUUGUUUACGAUGUAAUUUCUGUCUUUGUUUCUUAGAUGGAUGAGCUUUCUUAAAGAAUUCAAAUGAAGCAGAAAAUUUAUGCUUGUCCACUAGAUGCUGCUGUCUGCUUUUGUAGCUUUUGAACUUCAAACCACAACCUUCCACCAGG
rnacentral:misc_RNA from 1 species